rnacentral:rRNA from 1 species
GAUGAACGCUGGCGGCGUGCCUAAUACAUGCAAGUCGAACGAAACUUCUUUAUCACCGAGUGCUUGCACUCACCGAUAAAGAGUUGAGUGGCGAACGGGUGAGUAACACGUGGGCAACCUGCCCAAAAGAAGGGGAUAACACUUGGAAACAGGUGCUAAUACCGCAUAACCAUAGUUACCGCAUGGUAACUAUGUAAAAGGUGGCUAUACUACCGCUUUUGGAUGGGCCCGCGGCGCAUUAGCUAGUUGGUAGGGUAAAGGCUUACCAAGGCAAUGAUGCGUAGCCGAAUUGAGAGGUUGAUCGGCCACAUUGGGACUGAGACACGGCCCAAACUCCUACGGGAGGCAGCAGUAGGGAAUCUUCCACAAUGGGCGAAAGCCUGAUGGAGCGACGCCGCGUGGGUGAAGAAGGUCUUCGGAUCGUAAAACCCUGUUGUUAGAGAAGAAAGUGCGUGAGAGUAACUGUUCACGUUUCGACGGUAUCUAACCAGAAAGCCACGGCUAACUACGUG